UCCGGUUUGUCACCGGCAGUCUGGCGUGAGUCCCCAACUUAAUGCUGGCAACACGCCACGGGGGUUGCGCUCGUUGCGGGACUUAACCCAACAUCUCACGACACGAGCUGACGACAGCCAUGCACCACCUGUAUACCGACCACAAGGGGGGCCGUAUCUCUACGGCUUUCCGGUAUAUGUCAAACCCAGGUAAGGUGGGGAUGACGUUUCCAGGUUAGG
rnacentral:misc_RNA from 1 species